AUGGGGGCCAAGGGGGUGGCAAUGGCAUCGUCGGCGGCGGGGACGGCGGCGCUGGUCUACGUCGUGCUAUCCGGACGGCUGUCCCCCGACGGCGCGGAGGAGGCGCCAAGGAGGCGGCACGGGCGGAGCGGCGUUGACGGGGAAAGCGAGGCGAGGUGGCCGGAGAGCGCGCCGGCGAGCUGGAGGGAGGCCGCGGCCGUGGCGGCGAGGACGGUGAGGUUCGCGUACGGCGAGACGCUGGGGAAGUGGCCGUUCGGGGACAUCGCCUUCGGGAUCAGCCACUACAUGCGCCUCCAGGUGAGUGAUCUGAUCACCACGCCACGAAAUCGAAUCAAAUGUUUCCAUCUGCUGGAACAGUCGCAGUGCCAGCCGUUUCUGCUUGCUCAUCACGAAUUGAGGAAAGGACACGCCUCGCUUGAUUUUGCUUAG
rnacentral:rRNA from 1 species